UACGAAGGGGGCGAGCGUUGUUCGGAAUUACUGGGCGUAAAGGGCGCGCAGGCGGCUCUGAAAGUCAGAUGUGAAAGCCCCGGGCUUAACCUGGGAAUUGCAUUUGAUACUCUGGAGCUCGAGUACGGGAGAGGAGAGUGGAAUUCCCAGUGUAGAGGUGAAAUUCGUAGAUAUUGGGAAGAACACCGGUGGCGAAGGCGGCUCUCUGGACCGUAACUGACGCUGAGGCGCGAAAGCGUGGGGAGCAAAC
rnacentral:rRNA from 1 species